rnacentral:rRNA from 1 species
UACAGAGGGGGCAAGCGUUGUUCGGAAUUACUGGGCGUAAAGGGCGCGUAGGUGGCCUGUUAAGUCGAACGUGAAAUCCCUGGGCUCAACCCAGGAACUGCGUCCGAUACUGGCAGGCUUGAAUCCGGGAGAGGGAUGCGGAAUUCCAGGUGUAGCGGUGAAAUGCGUCGAUAUCUGGAGGAACACCGGUGGCGAAGGCGGCAUCCUGGACCGGCAUUGACACUGAGGCGCGAAAGCCAGGGGAGCAAACGGG